rnacentral:rRNA from 1 species
GAUGAACGCUGGCGGCGUGCCUAAUACAUGCAAGUCGAGCGAACGGACGAGAAGCUUGCUUCUCUGAUGUUAGCGGCGGACGGGUGAGUAACACGUGGAUAACCUACCUAUAAGACUGGGAUAACUUCGGGAAACCGUAGCUAAUACCGGAUAAUAUUUUGAACCGCAUGGUUCAAAAGUGAUAGACGGUCUUGCUGUCACUUAUAGAUGGAUCCGCGCUGCAUUAGCUAGUUGGUAAGGUAACGGCUUACCAAGGCAGCGAUGCAUAGCCGACCUCAGAGGGUGAUCAGCCACAGUGGAACUGAGACACGAUCCAGACUCCUACGGGAGGCAGCGGUGGGGAAUCUUAGGCACUGGGCGGAAGCCUGAAGGAGCAACGCCGCGUUGGUGAUGAAAGUCUUCGGAUCGUAAAACUCUGUUAGUGGGGAAGAACAUAUGUGUAAGUGACUGUGCACAUCUUGACGGUACCUAAUCAGAAAGCCACGGCUAACUACGUG